rnacentral:tRNA from 1 species
CAAGAUAUAGCUCAAACAGAAAAGCAUCUCCCUUACACCGAGAAGACAUUCGUGCAAAUCGAAUUAUUUUGA